rnacentral:rRNA from 1 species
AGAGUUUGAUCCUGGCUCAGGAUAAACGCUGGCGGCAUGCCUAAGACAUGCAAGUCGAACGAGGCGCCCCAUUGAAACUUGAAUGAAGCUGAAGAGCUUGCUCGGAAGUGGAAUGACGGAAGAUUUGGAUUCUGCGCCUAGUGGCGAACGGGUGAGUAACACGUGGGUUACCUGCCUUCAAGCUGGGGAUAACAGUUGGAAACGACUGCUAAUACCGAAUGUGCUAGAAAUAGUAAAGACGCUCCAAAGCGUCACUUGAAGAUGGGCCUGCGGUGUAUUAGCUAGUUGGUGGGGUAAUGGCCUACCAAGGCGACGAUGCAUAGCCGGACUGAGAGGUUGAUCGGCCACACUGGGACUGAGACACGGCCCAGACUCCUACGGGAGACAGCAGUUAGGAAUAUUCGGCAAUGGGGGAAACCCUGACCGAGCAAUGCCGCGUGUGAGAUGAAGGUCCUUUGGAUUGUAAAUCACUUUUAUUUGGGAAGAACUGUAAGUAUAGGAAAUGAUACUUACUUGACGGUACCACUUGAAUAAGCCCCGGCUAACUACGUGCCAGCAGCCGCGGU